rnacentral:lncRNA from 1 species
CGGGGCCGGGAGAGGUUGGGCGGGCGGGCGGACGCGGGAGAGGUUGGGCGGGCGGGCGGACGCGGGAGAGGUUGGGCGGGAGGGCGGCCGGACGGACGCGGGAGAGGCCGGCGGGGAGAGCUCGGCCCCGGAGCACGGCACAGAGGUCCCCCGCAACCCCCGACCCGGAGCCAUAAAUUUUCCUUUCCCCGGAGCCGGGAAGGAGAGGGAGAGAGAGGAGAGGGGCAAAACUGCAGGGUCCUAACUUCGGAUAUAAAGCUCGGCCACUCGCUACUUGUGCAGCCUUGGCAGAGAGCCCGCAUCCUGUCCAUACAAGCCUAGCAAGCCACUCAGCCUCUCAUCCUGUCUCCUCUCAAAGUGGGGAUAAUCGCAGCCGUGCAGCGUUGUUGAAAGAAUACAUAAAAGCCGGGCACGGUGGCUCACACCUGUAAUCUCAGCACUUUGGGAGGAUCACUUGAGCCCAGGAGUUCGAGACCAGCCUAAACAAGAGUGAGACUAACCCCCGAUCUCUACAAAAAAAAAAAACAAAAAACAAACUAGCCAGGCAUGGUGACAGUGUGGUCUCAUUUACUCGGGAGGCUGAGGCAGGAGGAUGGCUUGAGCCCAGGAGGUCAAGGCUGCAGAGAGCCAUGAUGGUACCACUGCACUCCAGCCUGGGCAACAAAACGAGACCUUGCCUCAAAAAAAAUAAAGCAUCUAGGCCGGGCGCUGUGGCUCACGCCUGUAAUCCCAGCACUUUGGGAGGCCAAGGCGGGUGGAUCACCUGAGGUCAGGAGUUUGAGACCAGCCUGGCCAACAUGGCAAAAUCCCGUCUCUACUAAAAAUACAAAAUUAGCCGGGCGUGGUGGUGAAUGCCU